GCGCUGGUGGUGUAAGGCGUAGCAUUGCUGCCCGAAAAGCAGGAGGUGCGGGUUCGAGUCCCGCCUGGAGCA
rfam:Heligmosomoides polygyrus genome assembly, scaffold: HPBE_scaffold0003510